rnacentral:tRNA from 1 species
GCCGUGGUGGCGGAAAGGCAGACGCGCUAGAUUCAGGUUCUAGUGUCCGCGAGGGCGUGUGGGUUCGACUCCCACUCACGGCAUCA